rnacentral:rRNA from 1 species
UACGUAGGCGGCAAGCGUUGUCCGGAAUUAUUGGGCGUAAAGCGCGCGCAGGCGGUUUCUUAAGUCUGAUGUGAAAGCCCCCGGCUCAACCGGGGAGGGUCAUUGGAAACUGGGAAACUUGAGUGCAGAAGAGGAAAGUGGAAUUCCAAGUGUAGCGGUGAAAUGCGUAGAGAUUUGGAGGAACACCAGUGGCGAAGGCGACUUUCUGGUCUGUAACUGACGCUGAGGCGCGAAAGCGUGGGGAGCAAACAGG